GGUAGACAAGCCGCACUGAGAGCAAUGGAGAAAAUCACUAUUUGCGGGAUCUCACAGGGACCGUCUUUAAAAAGUUAAACAAAAUAAGCACGGCCCACAGAGGCGCGGAUAUUCGACAUGGCAAGACAGUGCUGCCAGAUAACCUGCAAAGUGACCUUUGAUCCCGUGGCUGCUGGGUGGUUUGGGGGAGGACCUCUGACACGUAACGGCAGAGCUCACCCGAAGGGGACCGGCGUGGUGGAGCUGGAGCGGAGAACAUGGGUACGGCUAAAAAGCACCGGAGUGUGUCGGGGAUCCGGGAGAGAACCCGAAUCCCUCGCCACAACUUCUCCUUGUAUCAACACCGCAGUCAAAGUGCAGCCGAGGAGAAAAUUAAUUUCUUAUUACCUGAUUAUAUUAUUAGGUUUCGCUUCGAGUGUCUGUUAAAUAUUCCACAUCAGCAUUUCAUCGGGCAGGUCGGUGCCGCCCGGAGCCCGUAAUAGGCUGAACGCCGCUUCCCCGUCCCCAGGAAUAAAGACUGGCGUUGGCAAUAUGCUGGCAGAAAGCAA